rnacentral:rRNA from 1 species
UCUCUCUGAAUCUGCGUACGGCUCCGCACACCAGUUGUAAACCAAAGCAAGCAAGCCCGGUCUCGACGCCUUUCGGGGCUAGGGGCCGGGCUACAAGGAUAACCCUGGUAAUUCUGAGGCUAAUACUUGACACGGAACCUGCUGACUGGGCCUCGGUCCGGGAGGUAGGGGAUGUGCGACCAUCGGGCCAAAGAAACCGGAAAGAGCGCACGUUCAGACCACUUAAAAAGGCCACGGGGUCCCUCGGGAUCCCGGGGCUGUGGCUCUUGCAGCGUGCUUCUGACCUAUCAACUAGACGGCAGCCUAAGGGACAUGCUUUGGUGACAACGGGUACAGAGGAUAAGGGUUCGAUCCUGGAGAGUGGGCCUGAGAGAUU